rnacentral:rRNA from 1 species
UUGAGCCUCGAAUCAGGUAGGGA